rnacentral:rRNA from 1 species
AACGAACGCUGGCGGCAUGCCUAACACAUGCAAGUCGAACGAGACCUUCGGGUCUAGUGGCGCACGGGUGCGUAACGCGUGGGAACCUGCCCUUAGGUUCGGAAUAACUCCCCGAAAGGGGUGCUAAUACCGGAUAAUGUCUUCUGACCAAGGAUUUAUCGCCUUUGGAUGGGCCCGCGUUGGAUUAGCUAGUUGGUAGGGUAAAAGCCUACCAAGGCGACGAUCCAUAGCUGGUCUGAGAGGAUGAUCAGCCACACUGGGACUGAGACACGGCCCAGACUCCUACGGGAGGGAGGAGUGGGGGAUAGUGGAAAAUGGGGGAAAGGCUGAAGGAGCAAUGCCGGGUGAGUGAUGAAGGCAUUAGGGUUGUAAAGCUCUUUUAACCGGGAUGAUAAUGACAGUACCGGGAGAAUAAGCUCCGGCUAACUCCGUG